UAAUAUUCACCAAAACCCCUAAAAAUUUAGAUAUAAACUCCUACACAUAUUCCAAAUUAUUACAACAACACUCAAUCCAAACAAAUAAUGAUUUUUGAAAAUUCAAAUCUGAAUUCAAAGCUUUCAAGCUUUUUAAUGGCUAUCAAUGGUGGAAAAUACAUGGAGAAUGAGAGAAUCACGCUGACAUGAAUUUGCUUCCGUUUUAAAUCUCGAAAUUAUUGGUGAUAGAAUCACCAUUAAAUCUGAUUCCUUCUAUUUUUGCGCGUUUUAGGGUGGAAUUCAUCUAUUUUUGGUUUGGUACAAAUUUUGUAGACAAAGUAUGGACUAGGCGGGUAAAUACAAUUUCAUGAACAUUUUUGGUAAUAAUGUUUGCUAUAUGAUAUAGAUAGGUAAAAUCUGUUAGAUAAUACGCUUAACGCUAGAGGGGGGUGAAUAGCGUCAUAAUAAAAAUCAGCGUAAACUUGCGGAAUUUAAAAUUUGCAGGAAAUAAAUAAGUGC
rnacentral:lncRNA from 1 species